ensembl:ncRNA M176.14 ncRNA
AAACUAUGUAAACAAUUGUUUGUUUUAUUGAACUAGUAUUUGUGUUUUUUAGAGGGAUGAAAAGGAUAUGCCUUCAAAAUUUACUCUAA